rnacentral:lncRNA from 1 species
CACACAUCAAGUUGUUAUUGGUGUUAUUUUUCGAUCAAAUUCACAACAGGGUAGCUUUUUCUUUUUGGAACCUUUGGCCACACAAGGACCACUUGCCUACACAUGCUUGUACUCUAAAGUUUGAAGGAGCACUAGAACAUGUCACACACAUGAACUAUCAUUAAAAAAUGUGUAUAGAACCUGGAUGGGUCUAAACAUGUAUAGACACACACUUGAAUUAUCAUAAAGACUAUAAUUCAUAUAUCAAAAAUAGAAAUGCUAAACAAGAGAAGCAGUUGGAACUGCAAGAUUCUACCUCAAGCACAAAACAUUGACAUAUUGGUACAAUGAAUAGGUGCAGUGACAAAAGAGUGUCAAUUAAAUGCAGGAAGUGAUGUUAAAAGUUUGAAAAAUGUAUAUCGCAUUCAGUAAAAUAUAACGUAGUUAGUAAAUUUAUUAAGAGACUAAAAAGUAGAAAAUGGGAUGUACCUGAAAAGUAGAACACCUUGCAUUAUUAUAAGUUUACAAACAAUAUUUAAUCCAUAUAGCAAUGGCAAUCAGGUUGAAACUGUGUCAUGUGUCUGA